rnacentral:rRNA from 1 species
ACUCCUACGGGAGGCUGCAGUAGGGAAUCUUCCGCAAUGGACGAAAGUCUGACGGAGCAACGCCGCGUGAGUGACGAAGGUUUUCGGAUCGUAAAACUCUGUUGUGAGGGAAGAACAAGUGCCACGUAACUACUGGCACCUUGACGGUACCUCACCAGAAAGCCACGGCUAACUACGUGCCAGCAGCCGCGGUAAUACGUAGGUGGCAAGCGUUGUCCGGAAUUAUUGGGCGUAAAGCGCGCGCAGGCGGUCCUUUAAGUCUGAUGUGAAAGCCCACGGCUCAACCGUGGAGGGUCAUUGGAAACUGGAGGACUUGAGUGCAGAAGAGGAAAGUGGAAUUCCAUGUGUAGCGGUGAAAUGCGUAGAGAUGUGGAGGAACACCAGUGGCGAAGGCGACUUUCUGGUCUGUAACUGACGCUGAGGCGCGAAAGCGUGGGGAGCAAACAGGAUUAGAUACCCUGGUAGUCCACGCCGUAAACGAUGAGUGCUAAGUGUUAGGGGGUUUCCGCCCCUUAGUGCUGCAGCUAACGCAUUAAGCACUCCGCCUGGGGAGUACGGCCGC